GAUGAACGCUAGCUACAGGCUUAACACAUGCAAGUCGAGGGGCAGCAUGAAGUUUGCUUGCAAACUUUGAUGGCGACCGGCGCACGGGUGAGUAACGCGUAUCCAACCUGCCCCGUACUCGGGUAUAGCCCAGCGAAAGCUGGAUUAAUCCCCGAUGUCACCUUUAUGGUGCAUGCCAUAUUGGUUAAAGUUAUUCGGUACGGGAUGGGGAUGCGUCUGAUUAGGUUGUAGGCGGGGUAACGGCCCACCUAGCCGACGAUCAGUAGGGGUUCUGAGAGGAAGGUCCCCCACACUGGAACUGAGACACGGUCCAGACUCCUACGGGAGGCAGCAGUGAGGAAUAUUGGUCAAUGGGCGAGAGCCUUGAACCAGCCAAGUAGCGUGCAGGAUGACGGCCCU
rnacentral:rRNA from 1 species